rnacentral:rRNA from 1 species
AACGCGAAGAACCUUACCUGGGCUCGAACGGCUUAAGAUCAUCCUUGGAAACAGGGACUUCUCGCAAGAGACUUGAGUCGAGGUGCUGCAUGGCUGUCGUCAGCUCGUGUCGUGAGAUGUUGGGUUAAGUCCCGCAACGAGCGCAACCCUUGUCCUGUGUUGCCACUCCGCAAGGAAGCACUCUCAGGAGACCGCCAGCGAUAAGUUGGAGGAAGGUGGGGAUGAUGUCAAGUCAUCAUGGCCUUUAUGUCCAGGGCUACACACGUGCUACAAUGGACGGUACAAAGCGCUGCAAACCCGCGAGGGGGAGCUAAUCGCAAAAAACCGUUCUCAGUUCGGAUCGCAGGCUGCAACUCGCCUGCGUGAAGCUGGAAUCGCUAGUAAUGCCGUAUCAGAACGAUGGCGUGAAUACGUUCCCGGGCCUUGUA